rnacentral:rRNA from 1 species
AUUGAACGCUGGCGGCAGGCCUAACACAUGCAAGUCGAGCGAGCGGCGGACGGGUGAGUAAUGUAUGGGUAUUUCCCUAUAGAGGGGGAUAACUACUGGAAACGGUGGCUAAUACCGCAUACUAUCGGAUUACCCAUAUGGUAUUAGCUAGUAGGUGGGGUAAAGGCUCACCUAGGCGACGAUCUCUAGCUGGUCUGAGAGGCUGAUCAGCCACACUGGAACUGAGACACGGCCCAGACUCCUACGGAGGCAGCAGUGGGGAAUAUUGCACAAUGGGCGAAAGCCUGACGCAGCCAUGCCGCGUGAAUGAAGAAGGUCUUAGGGUUGUAAAGUACUGUCAGCGGGGAGGCGUUACCCGAAGAGGAAGCACCGGCUAACUCCGUGCCAGCAGCCGCGGUAAUAC